ensembl:lncRNA
CCCUGAGGUGAGGACAUAAAAUUUAAGUGUAAAACACACAUUAAGUCUCUGCCCAGUAGUUGUCUGGACAUGAAGACAAAAUUAGGUCUAAUACUGUGCAGUGACCGUGAACUCGUUAUCGGGGUUUCUUUUAAUUCGCAGUGUUUUAUUACUGAAUACGUUGCUCCCGAUUCUACCAGAAAUGUGACACUUUGCCCAAACCUUAAGAAUGUAAAAGUGUUUACCUGUGAGGGCGAGUCCACAUACAGCAAUUUGUCAGGGGUAAUGCGAUAUUUCGCUCGGCACAAUAAAGGACAAAUCGCCUUUGCGUCAACAUGGACUUCAGGAUGAAACUUUUCCACGAGCGUCCUCCGGUUUGCUUGUUGUCCAGUAAAGCUGAAAGACUCACGCAGCCCAGCCAGGAGAAGCCAAAUUGUCGUGGAAUUAGACAACACUUGCAGACUCAUCCUCUGAAGAGCAUGACACACUUCUGUGUACCGAUAAGAAGCAGUUUGAGGCAGUUCAAACAGGCUUUGUUUCAG